rnacentral:rRNA from 1 species
GACGAACGCUGGCGGCGUGCUUUAGGCAUGCAAGUGGAACGAGUCGCUUUCGGGCGACUAGUCGCGAACGGCUGAGUAACACGUAGGAAUCUACCCCUUGGCGGAGAAUACCCAUUCGAAAGAGUGGUUAAUACUGCAUAAGAUCGUAAGAUGAAAGGGCGUAACUGCCCACCGAGGGAGGAGCCUGCGGCCUAUCAGCUUGUUGGUGAGAUAAAAGCUCACCAAGGCUACGACGGGUAGGGGGCGUGAGAGCGUGUACCCCCAGAAUGGCACUGAGAUACGGGCCAUACACCUACGGGUGGCAGCAACCGGGAAUUGUGCGCAAUGGACGAAAGUCUGACGCCGCGACGCCGCGUGAGGGAUGAAGGCCCUUGGGUUGUAAACCUCUUUUGCCAAAAGGGAGACCUUUUGGAGAAUAAGCACCGGCUAACUACGUGCCAGCAGCAGCGGUAAAACGUAGGGUGCAAGCGUUGUCCGGAUUUACUGGGCGUAAAGGGUUUCGUAGGCGGUCUAAUAAGUCAUACUUCAAAGCCCGGGGCUCAACCUCGGAAAGGGGUGUGAUACUUUUAGACUUGAAGGAUGUCGGGGCUACUGGAAUUGUCGGUGUAGGGGUGAAAUCCGUUGAUAUCGACAAGAACACCAAGGGCGUAGGCAGGUAGCUAGGCAUCAUUUGACGCUAAGGAACGAAAGCUAGGGUAGCAAAAGGGAUUAGAGACCCCUGUAGUCCUAGCCGUAAACGAUGCUCGCUAGGGAUCUUCCCCGCCCUUUCUUUAAUUAACUCAGGUAAGAAAGUUGCAACAGAUGAUUUUUUUAUUUUAUUUACUUGAGGAUUGAAUGUAUUGAGGAAAGAGCGGGGGGGGUCUCGUAAGCUAACGCGUUAAGCGAGCCGCCUGGGGAGUACGAUCGCAAGAUUAAAACUCAAAGGAAUUGACGGGGACCCGCACAACCAGUGGAGCAUGUGGUUUAAUUCGAGACGAACCGAAGAACCUUACCUGGACUUGACAUCCUAGCUGCACGUCGUUAGAAAUAGCGACUUCUUCGAGAGUGCUAGGACAGGUGUUGCAUGGCUGUCGUCAGCUCGUGCCGUAGGGUGUUCCCUUCAGUGGGGUAACGAGCGCAACCCCUGCCGUAUGUUGUAUUUCAUACGGGACUAUUCUGCUUAGCAGAGAGGAAGUGGGGACGACGUCAAGUCAGCAUGGCCCUUAUGUCCAGGGCUACACACAUGCUACAAUGGAGCCGACAAUGGGUUGCCAAGCGGUAACGUGGAGCUAAUCCCAUCAAACGGCUUCUCAGUGGGGAUUGAGGGCUGCAAUUUGCCCUCAUGAACGAGGAAUUGGUAGUAAUCGCGGAUCAGCCAAGCCGCGGUGAAUACGUUCUCGGGUCUUGUACACACCGCCCGUCAAGUGAGUGAAGUUGGGAGCACCCGAAGGUCGUCUGUGACGACUGAAGGUGAGACCAGCGACAAGCACU